rnacentral:rRNA from 1 species
UACGAAGGGGGGCUAGCGUUGCUCGGAAUUACUGGGCGUAAAGGGCGCGUAGGCGGUGCACUAAGUCAGGCGUGAAAGCCCUGGGCUCAACCCGGGAAUUGCGCUUGAUACUGGUGCGCUUGAAUCCAGGAGAGGUUGGUGGAAUUCCCAGUGUAGAGGUGAAAUUCGUAGAGAUUGGGAAGAACACCGGUGGCGAAGGCGGCC